rnacentral:rRNA from 1 species
ACACCGCGAUGCCUUAGUAGCGGCGAGUGAAGCGGCAAUAGCUCAAUUUGAAAUCUGGUCACCUUCGGUGCCCGAGUUGUAAUUUGAAGAGGGCAUCUUUGGGGCCGGUCCUUGUCUAUGUUCCUUGGAACAGGACGUCAUAGAGGGUGAGAAUCCCGUGUGACGAGGAGCCCAGUUUCUUGGAAAGGUGCCUUCGAAAAGUCGAGUUGUUUGGGGAAUGCAGCUCUAAGUGGGUGGUAAAUUCCAUCUAAAGCUAAAUAUUGGCGAGAGACCGAUAGCGAACAAGUACUGUGAUGGAAAGAUGAAAAGAACUUUGAAAAGAGAGUGAAAAAGUACGUGAAAUUGUUGAAAGGGAAGGGCUUUUGAUCAGACUUGGUGUUAUGUGCCCUCUGCUCCUUGGGAUGAGGGGAAUCUCGCAUUUCACUGGGCCCACAUCAGUUUUGUGGGCAUAAUAAAUGCAUAAUACUGUCUGUUGCCUCGGAAGACAGUAUAUCCUGCGAGAAUACUGCCAUAUGGGACUGAGGACUGCGACGUAGGAACAAGGGAUGCUGGCAUAAUGGUUAUAUGCCGCCCGUCUUGAAAACACGGACCA